AGCGAACGCUGGCGGCGUGCCUAACACAUGCAAGUCGAACGUGAAAUCGGGGCAACUCGAAAGUAAAGUGGCGUACGGGUGAGUAACACGUAGGUAAUCUACCCCGAAAUUUGGAAUAACCGGCCGAAAGGCUGGCUAAUACUGAAUAGAGCGACGGAAUCCGUAAUUGGGUUUUUCGGGAAAGGGAGGGAGCAAUCCCCUUCGUUUCGGGAUGAGCCUGCGUCUCAUUAGCUAGUUGGCGGGGUAAUGGCCCACCAAGGCAUUGAUGAGUAGCUGGUCUGAGAGGAUGAUCAGCCACACUGGAACUGAAACACGGUCCAGACUCCUACGGGAGGCAGCAGUGGGGAAUCUUGCGCAAUGGACGAAAGUCUGACGCAGCCACGCCGCGUGAGUGAAGAAGGCC
rnacentral:rRNA from 1 species